rnacentral:rRNA from 1 species
ACCGCCCGUCACACCAUGGGAGUUGGUUUUACCCGAAGCCGGUGCGCGAACCGCAAGGAUGCAGCCGACCACGGUGAGAUUCAUGACUGGGGUG